rnacentral:misc_RNA from 1 species
GUGAAUCAUCGAAUCUUUGAACGCACAUUGCGCCCCUUGGUAUUCCAUGGGGCAUGCCUGUUCGAGCGUCAUUUGUACCUUCAAGCUCUGCUUGGUGUUGGGUGUUUGUCCCCGUUUUUGUGCGGACUCGCCUGGAAUUCAUUGGCAGCCGGCAGUCUGGUGUUGGAGCGCAGCACAAUUUGCGCUUUCCCCCACGACAAUCGGCGUCCAGUAAGCCUACAUUUCAACGCUUGACCUCGGAUCAGGUAGGGAUACCCGCUGAACUUAAGCAUAUCAAUAAGCGGAGGA